UAUUUGUCUAUUUUGAACUUGGCGAUUUCGUGUGGAACCAUAAACACAAAAUGGCCGUGACUAGAGCUAACGCCCGUGAUAUUUAGUAAAAUAUACUAAAGCUAACACCCGUGAUAUUUAGUAAAAUAUACUAAAGCUAACACCAUGAUAAUUAAUAACAUUUUAUCAUGUGACAAUUCAUUUUCAUAUGAUAACCCGCUUAAUUUAAAAAUAUAUUUUAAUGUUUCAAUUUUUUGAAUUAGACAAAAUAUGCCUAUAGAUGUAUAGAACCUCCAUAGUCCAUACAAGCAAUUCAAAUUCGGAAUUAGACAAAAUGAUACAUUUAGGAGCAAUAUUUUCAUCAUGUGAUUCACUUAGUAGCAUUAUUAAUGAGCAGUCAUGCCUAGUUAAUUUAUAUAUUGCAAGGUCUACAUUAAACUCCCAUCCUGAAGAGCUCAUAAAUCUUUUUAAAUAUCAAAAGGUUUAUUAUUCUUAUAAAUGUAUAGAACCUCCAUACAAGCAAUUCAAAUUCACAAAAGAUUGUUCAUUUAUAUAUAGUUACAAUAACCAUUGAUUGUAAAAUAUUUAUAAAAUAUUAAAAUUUUAUUUAUAGAUAUGCUUAUAAAUAGAACCUCCAUACAAGCAAUUCAAAUUCACAAAAGAUUGUUCAUUUAUAUAUAGUUACAAUAACCAUUAAUUAACCUCCAUACAAGCAAUUCAAAUUCACAAAAGAUUGUUCAUUUAUAUAUAGUUACAAUAACCAUUAAUUGUAAAAUAUUUAUAUGUGCCAAUAAAAUAUAAACAAUUUGUAAUAAAUUUUGAAUUUUAUCAUGUUAAUUUAAAAGAAUGUAACCAAUCUGGCCUAAUUUUUUUUAGCUCAAUCAUAGCCCAUUUUUUUCAUACUCUAAUUGUUUUGUCCCAAACUUAAAAUUAAAUAUAAAAAGAACCAAAACAUUUUUUUGCUUAUUUUCUUAAUUUGUUUUAAUAUAAAAAGUUUUAAGCCAUACAACCAAUAAUGAUAUUUACAAUUUUUAUCAGAGACCAAUACCCAAAAAUAAAAUUUUUCUAAGUAUUUUACACAUUUAUAAACUGACAAGAUGGUUCUGCUAAUUUUUCUAUUAUUUUAAUUUACAUAACUUAAUUUUAAAUGAUAAGCAAAUAAAAGAUAAAAUCUAAAAGGUAUAUAUCUUUUUUGUU